AUCCACCUGACAAGUCCAAAACAGAACGAAACGAGCGUCCUAAAU
rnacentral:hammerhead_ribozyme from 1 species